rnacentral:lncRNA from 1 species
AUGCCCAUGGAAAAGAAAUGCAAAAAAGCAAAAUGGUUGUCUGGGGAGGCCUUACAAAUAGCUGUGAAAAGGAGAGAGGCAAAAAGCAAAGGAGAAAAGGAAAGAUAUAAGCAUCUGAAUGUAGAGUUCCAAAGAAUAGCAAGAAGAGAUAAGAAAGCCUUCUUCAGUGAUCAAUGCAAAGAAAUCGAGGAAAACAACAGAAUGGGAAAGACUAGAGAUCUCUUCAAGAAAAUUAGAGAUACCAAGGGAACAUUUCAUGCAAAGAUGGGCUCGAUAAAGGACAGAAAUGGUCUGGACCUAACAGAAGAAGAAGAUAUUAAAAAGAGGUGGCAAGAAUACAUGGAAGAAAUGUACAAAAAAGAUCUUCACAACCCAGAUUAUCAUCAUGAUGUGAUCACUCAUCUAGAGCCAGACAUCCUGGAAUGUGAAGUCAAGUGGGCCUUAGAAAGCAUCACUAUGAACAAAGCUAGUGGAGGUGAUGGCAUUCCAGUUGAGCUAUUUCAAAUCCUGAAAGAUGAUGCUGUGAAAGUGCUGCACUCAAUAUGUCAGCAAAUUUGGAAAACUCAGCAGUGGCCGCAGGACUGGAAAAGGUCAGUUUUCAUUCCAAUCCCGAAGAAAGGCAACGCCAAAGAAUGCUCAAACUACCGCACAAUUGCACUCAUCUCACAUGCUAGUAAAGUAAUGCUCAAAAUUCUCCAAGCCAGGCUUCAACAAUACGUGAGCUGUGAACUUCCAGAUGUUCAAGCUGGUUUUAGAAAAGGCAGAGGAACCAGAGAUCAAAUUACCAACAUCCACUGGAUCAUGGACAAAGCAAGAGAGUUCCAGAAAAACAUGUAUUUCUGCUUUAUUGACUAUGCCAAAGCCUUUGACUGUGUGGAUCACAAUAAACUGUGGAAAAUUCUGAAAGAGAUGGGAAUACCAGACCACCUGACCUGCCUCUUGAGAAAUCUGUAUGCAGGUCAGGAAGCAACAGUUAGAACUGGACAUGGAACAACAGACUGGUUCCAAGUAGGAAAAGGAGUACAUCAAGGCUGUAUAUUGUCACCCUGCUUAUUUAACUUCUAUGCAGAGUACAUCAUGAGAAACGCUGGGCUGGAAGAAGCACAAGCUGGAAUCAAGAUUGUCAGGAGAAAUAUCAAUAACCUCAGAUAUGCAGAUGACACCACCCUUAUGGCAGAAAGUGAAGAGGAACUAAAUAGCCUCUUGACGAAAGUGAAAGAGGAGAGUGAAAAAGUUGGCUUAAAGCUCAACAUUCAGAAAACGAAAAUCAUGGCAUCCGGUGCCAUCACUUCAUGGGAAAUAGGUGGGGAAACAGUGGAAACAGUGUCAGACUUUAUUUUGGGGGGCUCCAAAAUCACCGCAGAUGGUGACUGCAGCCAUGAAAUUAAAAGACACUUACUCCUUGGAAGGAAAGUUAUGACCAACCUAGAUAGCAUAUUGAAAAGCAGGGACAUUACUUUGCCGACUAAGGUCCGUCCAGUCAAGGCUAUGGUUUUUCCUGUGGUCAUGUAUGGAUGUGAGAGUUGGACUGUGAAGAAAGCUGAGUGCCGAAGAAUUGAUGCUUUUGAACUGUGGUGUUGGAGAAGACUCUUGAGAGUCCCUUGGACUGCAAGGAGAUCCAACAAGUCCAUUCUGAGGGGGAUCAGUCCUGGGUGUUCUUUGGAGAGAAUGAUGCUAAAACUGAAACUCCAGUACUUUGGCCACCUCAUGCGAAGAGUUAACUCAUUGGAAAAGACUCUGAUGCUGGGAGGGAUUGGGGGCAGUAGGAGAAGGGGACGACUGAGGAUGGGAUGGCUGGAUGGCAUCACGGACUCGACAGACAUGAGUCUGAGUGAACUCCGGGAGAUGGUGAUGGACAGGGAGGCCUGGCGUGCUGCGAUUCGUGGGGUUGCGAAGAGUCGGACAUGA